GAGUUUGAUCAUGGCUCAGAGCGAACGCUGGCGGCGUGCUUAACAUAUGCAAGUCGAACGCGCAGUCUUCUGUAGCAAUACAGGAGGCCGGCGCGUGGCGAACGGGUGCGUAACACGUGGAUAACCUUCCUUCAGGUGGGGAAUAACCCAGUGAAAAUUGGGCUAAUACCGCAUAACAUGACGAUGGCACAUGCCGUUGUCUUCAAAGCCGCAAGGCGCCAGAUGAGGGAUCCGCGGCCGAUUAGCUUGUUGGCGAGGUAAUGGCUCACCAAGGCAAUGAUCGGUAGCCGGACUGAGAGGUUGGCCGGCCACACUGGAACUGAGACACGGUCCAGACUCCUACGGGAGGCAGCAGUGGGGAAUCUUGCGCAAUGGACGAAAGUCUGACGCAGCAACGCCGCGUGGGGGAUGAAGCUUCUCGGAGUGUAAACCCCUUUCGACCCGGACGAAUGCCCGCAAGGGUUUGACGGUACGGGUAUAAGAAGCCCCGGCUAACUACGUGCCAGCAGCCCCGGUAAAACGUAAGGGGCCAGCGUUGCUCGGAAUUACUGGGCGUAAAGGGUCCGUAGGCGGUGUGGCAAGUCGGAAGUGAAAUCUCUGGGCUUAACUCAGAAGCUGCUCCCGAAACUGCCAUGCUAGAGUGUGAGAGAGGCGAGUGGAGUUGCGGGUGUAGCGGUGAAAUGCGUAGAUAUCCGCAGGAACAUCCGAGGCGAAAGCGGCUCGCUGGAUCACAACUGACGCUGAGGGACGAAAGCUAGGGGAGCAAACAGGAUUAGAUACCCUGGUAGUCCAAGCCCUAAACCAUCAGGACUUGGGGUUUGCCCUGUACGGGGCAAGUCCCGUAGCUAACGCGUUAAGUCCUGCGCCUGGGGAGUACGGUCGCAAGGCUGAAACUCAAAGGAAUUGACGGGGGCCCGCACAAGCGGUGGAACAUGUGGUUCAAUUCGACGCAACGCGAAGAACCUUACCUGGGCUUGAACCGCACAGGACCCUCCUUAGAAAUAGGGACUUCCCGCAAGGGACCUGUGUAGAGGUGCUGCAUGGCUGUCGUCAGCUCGUGCCGUGAGGUGUUGGGUUAAGUCCCGCAACGAGCGCAACCCUUACUCGUAGUUGCCACCCGCAAGGGGGAACUCUACGAGGACUGCUCCGGAUAACGGAGAGGAAGGUGGGGAUGAGGUCAAGUCAGCAUGGCCUUUAUGUCCAGGGCUACACACGUGUUACAAUGCGCGCUACAAAGCGUCGCGAACCCGCGAGGGGGAGCUAAUCGCAAAAAAGCGCGCUCAGUUCGGAUUGCAGUCUGCAACUCGACUGCAUGAAGCUGGAAUCGCUAGUAAUGGCGCAUCAGCUACGGCGCCGUGAAUACGUUCCCAGGCCUUGUACACACCGCCCGUCACAUCAUGAAAGCCGGUUGCACCCGAAGUCGCCCCUUAAAAGGUGCCGAAGGUAUGACUGGUGAUUGGGAUGAAGUCGUAACAAGGUAACCGU
rnacentral:rRNA from 1 species